rnacentral:lncRNA from 1 species
GUCACAAACCCUCUAUGGAGGGAGGGUCUCUCUCAAGGAGUUUUUCUCCUUGUACAUUCUUAAAAAAUUCUGUCAACAGCCUCAUAAGAACCUCCCAUCCUUUGAAGCCCUAAAACACCCCCUUCCCUAUAAAGCUGGUAUGUAAGCCUUUAUCCCCAGCUGUUUGGGGAGUUACUUACUAUAUGCAUAUGAUGUUGUCAGCAUUUGAACCUAGGUUGGUAACCUAAGCUCCUCCGAGCCAAAGAAACUGCCCCUUUACCUGCUUAUUUGCAAGAGCAGGAGGCUAUAGGUAAAGGUGUAGCUUAGCCCCAUGGAUACCAGAAGUCUGUGACAAGAAGCUUACAUGGAGUGUAAAUGAACAGAAAAGUGAACAGAGAAGUGGAGUGAACAGAGAAGCCCAAGGUGGAAUCAGCAGCCCAUCUGCUGCUCCCAGAAACCUCUCUGCCACAUAGUCCUCUUCCCUCUACCCUGCAGGUGGCCCAAGCUGUACUGCCCCUCCCCCUCUCCAGAGCCCUAAGGGCCCAGGUGACCACCAUCAACUGGUCCCCCAGCAGAUGCUUCCCUAAGACAAACAGUCCUAACUCUGUUCCCCUCCCCCACCCCACCUUUUUCUCUCCCCAGUGUCCUACCAAUCUGCUCCACCAGGCUGACGCUUCGGUUUCUUGUCCCUCAGGAGUGAUAUUGUGAUGGAAAUGAGGGAGAGGAUGCAGAAGGGAGCAGCAAAGAUUUACAGCUUCCAGAGGGUUUCCAUUAAAAUCCCUGACAACUGGUUAUUUAUGAGAGACGGUUGGCUGCAGCGGGAGCUAAUAGGCCAGAUCCUGGCACCGCUGUCCUUUCAGGGGUAAUGACAGGAGCCAACAGGGUAAACGGUAGAGCGGCCCCAAUAUGUAGGCCAAAGCAGGCUUCCACGGUCAGGCACACUCUCCAGGGCCAGAAUGAAGCCAGGAAAUCAAAGAACAUCAGUGAUUUGUACCAGGCAGA